GACGAAGGUUGCAAGCGUUAUCCGGAUUCAUUGGGUUUAAAGGGAGCGUAGGUGGCCUUAUAAGUCAGUGGUGAAAUCUCGCAGCUUAACUGCGAAAUUGCCAUUGAUACUGUAGGGCUUGAGUAUAGUUGCCGUUGGCGGAAUAUGACAUGUAGUGGUGAAAUACAUAGAGAUGUCAUAGAACACCGAUUGCGAAGGCAGCUGACGAAACUAUAACUGACACUGAGGCUCGAAAGUGCGGGGAUCAAACAGG
rnacentral:rRNA from 1 species